UCCUGGUGUGCAUUAGGAUGCAUUGGACCAGUCUUCUGAACUCAGGCUAGAGAGCAACAGCACACCAAAUGAAGAGCAUCUUUAGGUGAUGAGGAGUUGAUCUUGAGGUCAGCGAUAGCCUGUGCCAAGUGACAGAAGGUUCUCCAGCCCACCAAACCCAGGUUUUCCACGAGAGGAGUAAGAAUACACAAAUGUUGUGGAACCGAGACAAACAAAACGACUUCAUGCAUAGAUGGGAAGACUAUAAUCUAGACAUAUUAAGCUGUGACAGCCUGCCAGAACUUCUCCUGCAAGGAUCUAUGAUGGAGCUUUUCUAAAGGGACCUCAUAAAAGCAGCAGCAGCAAACAGUGACCCUACAGGUGCAGACUGCAGCAGCUCUCCCUCCAGUCUUCCCAAUAAGUUGCUGGUUUUCAGCCGAAGGAGACAUCAGUGUUUAAAAAAUGAGGAGAGCAAGAAGAGAGAAAUAGAAUUUCCUGGAGGUUUCCAGGUAAUGACUGAUAUCAACCUUUUAAGCUUUGAACUCCUACGCUGCAUGCGGUCUGCUCGUGUACGUUUUGUGAUCUAAGUGCACCGUGACAGACAAGCUCUAGAUAGAGAAUGCUUUUAUAGUAGAAAAUCAUGCAGUCAGAUGCAGAAAUACCCACAUAACUGAAGUUAAGCCAUCAAGUGUAGUAAUUCCAAUCACAUUCUUGCUUAGUGAUUCAGUAGCUUUUCAGGCCCAGGGUAGUCCUCCUUAAGUACUAUUUUAGUAGUCUGUGGACUUACUCAAGAAUCUGUUUGAGCUGGUCAAUCUCCAAAAAAAGAAACUCAACAUAAUUAAGAAGUGUUUCUGAUGAUCAUGAAUAACACUCCCACUGCUGUUUUGGGAAGGAUUACCUGUUGUGCUGCUUUACUGGAAACUUAACUUAAGGGGAGGUGAGCUCACUGACAUUUAGGUCCCAAGAAGUUGAAGGCUCUGGCUCAUGUAUGGGGCUAGUUCAUGUCGGGAUGGCUGUUCUGAUCCCUGCUCCGGCUAUCUUCGCUGUGGGGAGUUCCUCCUUCUGCUGCAGGGAUGGCUCUGGGGCAGCUGCUGGGUUUUGCCAAGUCUAUUGUGAAUAUUCUAAAUAUAUAAUGGUGAUGGUAAAUGGAUAGUAUAUAAAGGCGACUGGCUAGCACUGUGAUGUGCAGACCCAUGGCCUGUGGCAGUACAGCACGGGACACAGGAGCCUUCAGUGUGGACAGCGGCACCGGGAACUGCUGUUGUUCCUGUACAGCGGGUACGGGGUCCCUCUGCUCCAGGCAGCUGUGGUUCAGAUCUGCUCCAGCACCACGCUCUGGAACACAGCAGCUCUUGGUCUCGUAGCUGGAUGGUGACUCUCCAUUUCCUGUUCAAUCACUUCUUGGAAAAUAGUGUCACUGUUUCCUGUCAGAGUGAAAAGCUGCUAAACCUCUUCCACUAAGAGUUCAUUUGUGUUUUAAUUGGUGCCCGAUAUUGAGAAGAACCAUCAUGAAUCUAAGUCAUGGCAGGUGAAAAAAUAAAUUACCACUGUUCUUA